rnacentral:lncRNA from 7 species
ACUCUCUUUUUCAGAAAUGUAGCAACAAGCAACUAACCCAUGUGGGCUGCCACCCUCCUCACGUUGCCUGCUGAGCAUGGGCAAAGCACGCCUUUGCGAGGGGAUCGGCCCUGUCACACAGAAUUUGCUGAUGCUGCAGCAUUUCCCUGCAGGGAUCAGGCUUGUGGCCAGGUGGAAGGUUUGCCUCCAGAGCACGUGGAACUGAGAAGGAUGCUCAGUGUCAGAGUUUCUGUGGAAUGGGUCAAUAAGCCCACCUCAGGUGAGGUGAGAGUGUCUUUCAUGGCCUGCCUGGGAAGCACUACUGAAUGUAAUGCAGCACUGACGCUCCCGUGAAUCGAUUUCUCAGAAUGCCAUGCCAAGCAGAUGAGAAGCCUUUGUCAGACAGUUUGGGUCAAGCCCGUCACCUGAUCCCUGACCUACAGCUUGUGGGAGCGGAGCGCAAUGGAUGAAGUCAUCAGUAAAGUGCAAAGGUCACGGGUCCUCGUGGGGAGAGGUGGUUGUGCAAGGAAAACAGCGUAUUCAAAAUAAAUCGUUAAAUCAAAGAUG